rnacentral:misc_RNA from 1 species
GGCACUUUCCCACGCCCCAGUACCUGUUGUGGGGAUUAUGAAAGGUGUUCCAGUAGUAGUCUUGAAUAUCUUCUUGACAUCUUCGAGGAGAUUCUUUGUCAAUGCAGGAAUAGCCGGGGCUCGGUAGUCUUCGUUGUUCCUGUUCAUCGCACGGAUCACGGGCUCAGGGAUGUUCACUGGCCCUGGAACAAAGAGGUGGUUCCUCCCAGGCCCAUAGACGUAGUCCAUCUUUCUUGGAUGAUGUUUGACGAAGUUAGAUGUCCCUUGUGUUGACGCU